GAUGAACGCUGGCGGCGUGCUUAACACAUGCAAGUCGAACGGUGAAGCAGGAGCUUGCUCUUGUGGAUCAGUGGCGAACGGGUGAGUAACACGUGAGCAACCUGCCCCUGACUCUGGGAUAAGCGCUGGAAGCGGCGUCUAAUACUGGAUAUGUGAUGUGACCGCAUGGUCUGCAUCUGGAAAGAAUUUCGGUUGGGGAUGGGCUCGCGGCCUAUCAGCUUGUUGGGGAGGUAAUGGCUCACCAAGGCGUCGACGGGUAGCCGGCCUGAGAGGGUGACCGGCCAGACUGGGACUGAGACACGGCCCAGACUCCUACGGGAGGCAGCAGUGGGGAAUAUUGCACAAUGGGCGGAAGCCUGAUGCAGCAACGCCGCGUGAGGGAUGACGGCCUUCGGGUUGUAAACCUCUUUUAGCAGGGAAGAAGCGAAAGUGACGGUACCUGCAGAAAAAGCACCGGCUAACUACGUGCCAGCCGCCGCGGUAA
rnacentral:rRNA from 1 species